rnacentral:rRNA from 1 species
CACGUAGGGCGCAAGCGUUGUCCGGAAUUACUGGGCGUAAAGGGCUCGUAGGCGGCCAACUAAGUCAGACGUGAAAUCCCUCGGCUUAACCGGGGAACUGCGUCUGAUACUGGAUGGCUUGAGUUCGGGAGAGGGAUGCGGAAUUCCAGGUGUAGCGGUGAAAUGCGUAGAUAUCUGGAGGAACACCGGUGGCGAAGGCGGUUCUCUGGGCAUGUUCUGACGCUGAGGAGCGAAAGUGUGGGGAGCGAACAGG